CUUUCGCACCCCCCAAAAAUCCCAAAAUGGCCCUGAUUUGGGACCCAGGUUGGUUUGUAUUGUGCAAUCCGAAAUCAAAACAACUUCGGAAGAUGAGAACCGAACCGCAGAAGCAGAUAACUGAAACCCAGAAAACAUCAAACGCUCUCCAUCUUCUUCUCCGCCGCAGCCUCGUCGGAAAUGCAGCUGCACCGCCGCACCAUCUUCUUCUUCUCAGCCGCAAACCCACUAAAAACUAGUUAGUAUCUUAAAUCUUCAUGGAUUUGCUUUUGAUUUUUAAUUGUGAGUUUAUUUGGUUCUGAAGAUACGAUCCGAAAAUGCCUAAGUUCGGGCGAUGCAAUCCGAAUUCGCAUAGGUUCGGCAGCUGCGAUCCGAAUUGAAGCAGAGUUGUUCCAUCAAUUCAGUUUUGUGAGUAAGCAACAUUAACAGAGCACAAUCUUUUGAUGUGUUCUCUUCUUGCGAGGUCUCUGCACAAGCAAGUAAAAAUCUUGAUUCAUGGAGGCUCCAGAAGUUUUGAUUGUGUUUCCAGGUGUAUUCUUCUUGUUGUUCCUUCAUUUUGGCUUGUUACUACGUUGAAGAAGAAGAAGAAGAAGCAUACCAUCUGUGUUUUGCAAAUUAGGUGAAGAAGCAUAAUUAAUGAAUUUCCUUCAAAACGUGCAAAUUAGGUGAAGAAGCUAUGCGUGUUGGCUGUUAUUGGUGUAGCAGGUUUUUGUUGUAGCUGGUUUGGUUGUUAUAAAAGUUUGUUUUGCGAGACAAAAAACACCCUUACCUAGAUGCUACCUUGCAUUACAUGUCAAUAUUACAAGAAAUCAACCAGGGAACUUGCUAGAUUAGGGCCAAAAAAGCAAGAAUUGUGUAUAAGAUUCAAUAUCAUACAGCUAUAUCACUAGCGUGGUAAUUCAACUAUAGCUACUAAACACUAAUUGACAACUAUUGCAAUAUCUUCACAAUUCCCGGUAAAUCAAUUAAAUUAUUGACAAAAUAACAAUAGUUGCAACUAAGUUUGAAAGAUUAGAGUCUGAUAUAAAAACAAAGGUAUUUGGUGGAUGUCUAGUUCGGUUCCUACAUACCAAAAUUAAUUAAAUUCGGUUGCUAUGUUCCAAAACAGGCUAAGGGUAAUUUGGUCGGAACGGGGGGCCUACGAGCA